rnacentral:snRNA from 1 species
AGAUUUGGUUCAGAUUAUACCAA